UACGUAGGGGGCAAGCGUUGUCCGGAUUUAUUGGGCGUAAAGAGCGUGUAGGCGGUUUGGUAGGUCCGCUGUGAAAACUCGAGGCUCAACCUCGAGACGCCGGUGGAAACCAUCAGACUAGAGUCCGGAAGAGGAGAGUGGAAUUCCUGGUGUAGCGGUGAAAUGCGCAGAUAUCAGGAAGAACACCCGUGGCUAAGGCGGCUCUCUGGGCCGAAACUGACGCUGAGGAGCGAAAGCGUGGGGAGCAAACAGG
rnacentral:rRNA from 1 species